rnacentral:miRNA from 1 species
AUGUCACUGAUUAGGCAUGAUGAU